GCGACCGAGUAGGAGGGUCGCGGCGGUGAGCGCAGAAGGGUCUGGGCUCGAGCCUGCCUGGAGCCGCCGCCGGUGCAGAUCUUGGUGGUAGUAGCAAAUACUCCAGCGAGGCCCUGGAGGACUGAUGUGGAGAAGGGUUUCGUGUGAACAGCCGUUGCACACGAGUCAGUCGAUCCUAAGCCCUAUGAGAAAUCCGAUACUAACGGCGAUGGGAAAAAUUUUUCACGAUGUAAAACGGCCCAUUGAUCGGGCGAAAGGGAAUCCGGUUCCUAUUCCGGAACCCGGCAGCGGAACCGUAGUUUGUCGGGCCUUCGGGUUCGUCAGGGUAACCUAAAAGGGCCCGGAGACGCCGUCGGGAGCCCCGGAAAGAGUUUUCUUUUCUGCAUGAGCGUUCGAGUUCCCUGGAAUCCUCUCGCAGGGAGAUAGGGUUUGGAACGCGAAGAGCACCGCAGUUGCGGCGGUGCCCGGGAAUUCCCGACGGACCUUGAAAAUCCGGGAGAGGGCCACGUGGAGGUGUCGCGCCGGCUCGUACCCAUAUCCGCAGCAGGUCUCCAAGGUGAAGAGCCUCUAGUCCAUAGAAUAAUGUAGGUAAGGGAA
rnacentral:rRNA from 1 species